GGGGAUUUAGCUCAGUGGUAGAGCGUUUGCCUAGGAAGCACAAGGCCCUGGGUUUGGUCACCAGCUCCAAAAAAAAAAAAAAUCUUUAAGAGCACUGACUGCUCUUCAGAGGUCCUGAGUUCAAUUCCCA
rnacentral:tRNA from 1 species